rnacentral:rRNA from 1 species
UCGAGCGAUUUACUUCGGUAAAGAGCGGCGGACGGGUGAGUAACGCGUGGGUAACCUGCCCUGUACACACGGAUAACAUACCGAAAGGUAUGCUAAUACGAGAUAAAAUACUUUUAUCGCAUGGUAGAAGUAUCAAAGCUUUUGCGGUACAGGAUGGACCCGCGUCUGAUUAGCUAGUUGGUAAGGUAACGGCUUACCAAGGCGACGAUCAGUAGCCGACCUGAGAGGGUGAUCGGCCACAUUGGAACUGAGACACGGUCCAAACUCCUACGGGAGGCAGCAGUGGGGAAUAUUGCACAAUGGGCGAAAGCCUGAUGCAGCAACGCCGCGUGAGCGAUGAAGGCCUUCGGGUCGUAAAGCUCUGUCCUCAAGGAAGAUAAUGACGGUACUUGAGGAGGAAGCCCCGGCUAACUACGUGCCAGCAGCCGCGGUAAUACGUAGGGGGCUAGCGUUAUCCGGAAUUACUGGGCGUAAAGGGUGCGUAGGUGGUUCCUUAAGUCAGAGGUGAAAGGCUACGGCUCAACCGUAGUAAGCCUUUGAAACUGGGGAACUUGAGUGCAGGAGAGGUAAGUGGAAUUCCUAGUGUAGCGGUGAAAUGCGUAGAUAUUAGGAGGAACACCAGUGGCGAAGGCGGCUUACUGGACUGUAACUGACGUUGAGGCUCGAAAGCGUGGGGAGCAAACAGGAUUAGAUACCCUG